GAGUGAUGUAUUUUAUGGAAGGAAUUCCGGUAUACUGCUUUGUUUUGAAGUACGACCUCUUUCUUCACAACAGCUCCAUGAAAGGGAUGAAAAAAAUAGGUGUAGAAAACAAACCUCAUCACCAGAAGUCUCUGAAGAAAGUGGUCGUGAAACUUAAAGAAGACCUGAAGGUCUCACCUGCAGAAAAUAUAGAAAAUUAUUUUUAUGUACAGUUAACAGACUGUUAAAUAUCAUAGAAGUCUCAAGAAAGGAGAGGGGUAUGUUCAGUUCUCCAUGAUGUUACCUUUAUAGUUUGAAAAACUGCCAAAAUGGAAAGGUUUUGACAUCACUGGAAGAUGGGACAGGACAGAGUUUUAAUGAAGAAGUUUGAUAUUUUAAAGAUGUGUUGCUUGUUUAGGCAAGAAUCAUUACCGCAGCUUCCAAUUCCAUUGUCAAGAACAUCACAUAUAGAAAAGUCGAAGAACUUCUAUACCCAGUGAUAUAGCAGUUUUAUG